rnacentral:tRNA from 1 species
GCGAUAGUAGUACAAUGGUAGUAUGUGGCCUUCCCAAGGCCAAGACGGGGGUUCGAUUCCCCUCUAUCGCUCCA